CAUUAUCAUUUUUAUUUGUUGAAGAAAACAGUAUUAACAAAUGCUAAUUUGUAGGUUUAAAUUCACUUAUAUUUGGGAUAAUAUAGAAUCACAUAACCCUGAGUGAUGGUAGGAAAGACUCUGAGUUGCACUGUUUAGACUAUACAGGUACAGACAUUGGUCUUCAAGAAGCCCUUGAAAAAAAUUCCCAUGGACCACUCAGGAAUGUAGGUCACUGUCCCAAGAUUUUCAACAUUUUCUCAGUGCUGAAGGUCUCAGGAAAAUGAAGACAAAAUACUAGAUCAGAGAAAGAUGAUGAAGGGGAAAAGAGGUUAUUGUUUUAUAUUUUUGUUGAGAAAAAUAAAACAGAAAGACAAUGGUAGUAUUUUCUUACUAAGCUUAGUAUUGUUCAUAUUAUAAAUAGUAUCUCUUUCCAAGUUCAGCUAGGGUAUUUUUCCCUCAAUAAAAAUUUUGUAUGAGGUUGAAUCAGGUGCCUUCUUAGACACAAUGCUGUGUUCACCACAAGAGAUUGUGUAGGAGAACAAAGAAUUGUUUUUUCCUACUCAUUGUUAAGUUCAUGGCUAAAGCCACCCUAUUUUCUCCUCCGGGGAAAAAAAAAACACAUGCAAAUUCAUCUCAAAUGAGUUUUAUAAUGUACAGGAAAUUCUGGGAGUUAAGACUCAUUGAAACAGGACAACCUGCAUAUUCCAUGCUAAGUUUCCUCAGGGGAGCAGAUAGUAAGGGUGAAGUGGGAUAUGUAGUACACAGGAUGACCUCGGGUAGGGAACCACCUACAAACUAAACCUCCAUGCUCACAUUUGUGUCUAAGUUCUCCUGUCUUUAGGUAUACCGCAUUCCUUUCUUCUAACUGGAAGGUGAAUAUCUCUCACAUAGGAUCUUAUGAUGAAAAUAAGGAAAGGUCAAAAAAUUCUUUCUUGGUUAUAUCCCAUGAUUCAAGACAGGAAGACAAGACAAAGUGGGAGUCAGAGAGACCUGCUGAUUUUCCAAAGGCCAUGAUACUAUAUUAUGGGAUGGCAUGGCCUGAACCUCAUUCAUUGAAACUGCUUUCACCUUUCCUUCCAUUAGAUUUUAUUCUCUAAAGAAGUUAUUUCUGUUCAUCUUUUAAUCACCACUUCCAAGCACAGUAUUUGACACAAGAAUCAGUCAUCUGUAUUAUACACUGGAGACCAGAGGUAGAAGACCAAACUGGAAAGAAAUCAUAAAUACAUAGAAACCAAUGGAGUUAGGCGGAAGCCAAACUAUGAAAAGAAACUAUGAGGCUGGAGAGAUAGCUCAGUGGUGAAGAACUUGCUGUCCUUAUAGAGGCCCCAAGUUUGGUUCUUAGCAACCACAUCAGGUGGAUCACAAACCACCUGGAACUCCAGCUCCAAUGUUCUCUCUGGCCUCCAAGGGUACACUCACAUGCAUGUGUACAUAUCCACACAGAGACACACUAAUGCCUGUGAAUAAAAAAUAAAAUGAUUCCUUUUUAAUAAAAGAAAUGAGUUCUUACUAAUAGAAAAUUACUGAGGUUCAUUCUUCUCAGUGCUAGGUAGAACGUCCCACUUAACUUCAGUCAUCCCCAGAACUUUCCAUGAGUCAUAUAAAUGAUGUCUCCAGAAACCUUGACAUUUCCCUUUUCU
ensembl:lncRNA